rnacentral:rRNA from 1 species
UACCUGCAGCUCAAGUGGUGAUCGUUAUUAUUGGGCCUAAAACGUCCGUAGCCGGUCUUGUAAAUGCCUGGGUAAAUCGUAUGGCUUAACUAUACGAAUUCCGGGUAGACUGUUAGACUUGAGACCGGGAGAAGCUAGAGGUACUCCUGGGGUAGAGGUGAAAUUCUGUAAUCCUAGGGGGACCACCAGUGGCGAAGGCGUCUAGCUAGAACGGGUCUGACGGUGAGGGACGAAGCCCUGGGGCGCAAACGGGAUUAGAUACCCCGGUAGUCCAGGGUGUAAACGCUGCUUGCUUGAUGUUAGUCUGGCUCCGAGCCAGAUUAGUGUCGGAGAGAAGUUGUUAAGCAAGCUGCCUGGGAAGUACGGCCGCAAGACUGAAACUUAAAGGAAUUGGCGGGGAGCACAGCAACGGGUGGAGCGUGCGGUUU